GACGAACGCUGGCGGCGUGCUUAACACAUGCAAGUCGAACGGAAAGGCCUUUUCGGAGGUACUCGAGUGGCGAACGGGUGAGUAACACGUGGGUGAUCUGCCCUGCACUCUGGGAUAAGCCUGGGAAACUGGGUCUAAUACCGGAUAGGACCGCACUUUAGUGUGUGUGGUGGAAAGUUUUUUCGGUGUAGGAUGAGCCCGCGGCCUAUCAGCUUGUUGGUGGGGUAAUGGCCUACCAAGGCGGCGACGGGUAGCCGGACUGAGAGGUUGGUCGGCCACAUUGGGACUGAGAUACGGCCCAGACUCCUACGGGAGGCAGCAGUGGGGAAUAUUGCACAAUGGGCGCAAGCCUGAUGCAGCGACGCCGCGUGGGGGAUGACGGCCUUCGGGUUGUAAACUCCUUUCGCCAGGGACGAAGCGUUUUGUGACGGUACCUGGAGAAGAAGCACCGGCUAACUACGUG
rnacentral:rRNA from 1 species